rnacentral:lncRNA from 1 species
CUUUAUAAGUCACUGCUGGCCGGGCGCCCGCCCGCCUCUCCGCAGCCUCCGCGCCGGCAGCGCUGCCCGCUCCGCGCUGCCCCCGCCAUGCCCUAGCCCGGCCCGCCCGGGGACGCGCAGCAGCUCGGGGAGGGUCGGCAGCGAUGGCACCCCCGUGCCCGCGCCCCGCCCGCCCCUGAGGGCGGCUGCUGCCGCCGGGAUGUUCAGCUGGCAUCGGAGCUUCACCCUGGAAGCGCCCUGGAGAGGUGAGUCGGCCGCCCCGCCGGGGCCAGCCGGCGGCUGCCAACACCUCCCCGGACCCGCGCCCCUUCCACCCCCUUCCUUCCCCUCAGUGGCGGUGCAGACGAUCCUUAGGACAAGCCCAUCCCGGCCCGCCCUGCUCCCGGGCCCCGGUGGACGGGCACGGCGCCGCUGCCGCCCCGGCCCCAUGCUGCGCUCCCUGCUCUCCGGCUGCCUCUGUCCCCUCGCAGCAGGUAAGAAGAGCCCACCGGCUGAGGACAAAGUCGUGUUAACACACAUGAAGAUACUGAGCGAUGAAGGAAUUCAAAACCCAGGGUUAAUCCCAGAGGCUCCAGCUGACACAGCCUGCACAGAAGAGUCCCAGCUUCCCGGUGCCAGUCUCCCACCAGGCUGCCUGGCAAGCCCAGAUGCAGCAGCCACAGCAGCAGGUCCAGACUAUGUGGAUGGCCCGGCAAGCGCUGACUAUGUAGCCACCCUGCCUGACCUCAGUGCCUUCGAGUCCAAGUGCCGGCUUCACAGACUCUCCAAAUUUGAAUCUGAGGACUCGGGGGUUGAGUUGCCAAGCGGUGCUAAUUCUCCAUCAACGCCGACGGGCUCAGAGAAGAGCUUUGUGCUUCACAGCAGAGACUCAUUUUGUGACUCGGGUGUGCUUAGCACCUCUUCUUCUCCAGAAAUUGACCAUCAGUUAAUGAGAACAUGUAAAGAACGUGCCAGAAAAGUUAGCGUCCAAGAUCCAGAGAGCAAAAAGCAAACUGAUUACUACAGCCAGGAGGCAGAUGCUGUGCAGGAUCCUACAGCUUCCCUUGAAGAUUUCAAUGUCCCCCAGGAAGAAAGUCCCGAUGAACAUUUUGACCAGGGUGACAAGCAGUCUCCAGAAAAGGAACCUACCCCAGAGAUGGACUUUUCCAGGGAAAGCACUCUUUCUACCCCAGGUCCCAUAGAAGAGCCAAAUACAAUUGCUGACGAUUUCCCAGAGAAUUUUGGCAGCAUGCAAGACCUUCAGAUCCAUGAACAUCACCUGAAGAAGUAUCCCACAAGUGACAGCCUGGAUGAAUACAUGGAUGAAUGCUGUAGGCUGAGUGAGGUGAACCAAAGUAACAGCAAAGCCCUGGGAUCUGGUCUGGGAUACCUAGAACACAUCUGCCAACUGAUUGAGAAGAUUGGGCAGCUUCAGGAGCACAACCUGCGUCUCCAAAAACAAGUGUGCAGCUUGCAGAAGGAGCAGAAGAUGAGUCAGAUAAAAGAGGAAUAUCUUCUACAGCAUUGCUCCUGUGGAGCUGCCAGUAUCUUCCUUAACUCAUAUCAAGACAUGAAAACAAGUUUUGCUGGGAGGAGCAGACCUCACAGCCUCUUGGUUCAGACUGGAAACCCUUCUGAUCUUUCCAUCAUCCCAGAAAUAGGAGCAAACACUGAGAAGCUGAGCAGCUGCAAUGGAAGUGAGAGAUACCUGGAAUCAGGAAAGAGCCAGCCAAUGGUGGGGCUCAGGAAGUCAUCAAACAAUAGGAACAACAAGGAGAAUGAGUUCAGAGAAGUUGGGAGUAUGGCUGAGGGACAGGCUUUUCUGUCAAAGGACUCUGCAGUAAGAAAGGCUCUGGACAUCAGCAAGAACACCUCGGGUGAGAGCCAUGCUUGGAGGAGAAUGAGAGAUCUUAUGAGGAAGACGCGAUUGACAAACCAGAGCAAGCUGGGGCUGUCCUCUGCUGCUCUGAAGAGGUCCUGCCCACAGUUGUAUAGGCCAGAUAUUAUGUCUUCAGAGCUGAGGAAAACUGAGAGGAACUCCAUGAUUGUUCUGGGACAAAAUACAAAGAAUGAAAACUUAUGGCCUUUCUGAUAAUCUGAGUCAAACAGAGCAAGCUGAA